CACGUAGGUGGCGUUACAAGUUGGAUGUGAAAGCUCCCGGCUUAACUGGGAGAGGUCAUUCAAAACUGUAGUGCUUGAGGCUGAAAGAGGAGAGUGGAAUUCCCGGUGUAGUGGUGGAAUGCGUAGAUAUCGGGAGGAACACCAGUGGCGAAAGCGGCUCUCUAGUUCACGCCUGACGCUGAGGUGCGAAAGCGUGGGUAGCGAACG
rnacentral:rRNA from 1 species